AAGAUUACAUUGUAUUCACUACUACAAAAAGAGUGAUUUUUGGACGCAAUUGGUUCGACGCUGUUGAAGGGGCGUCAGUCUAUAAUUUUUGGUUCCGUCUUUUUGCGACGCUUUUUGUAGCGAAAAUUUUCUCGACACUUAAAACCGUCGAGAAACCCGCAAUUUUGAAUUUUUUUAAUGAAAUAAUUAGCGGGUUCGUGUUUUUUCACCCUCAGCUCAGUCGAAUUAGGUUCCCAAUUAAACGUCUUCAAAAAAAAAAAAAAAAAAAAAAAAAGGUUCCCAAUUAAACUGCCCAUAUUCUAUUCUGCUCUCCUCCAAACUUGGACUCCAUCAUCACUUUCAUCAGCGACAAAAAAAAUCUCAAAUUUUAGGUUAAUUUCUGGGUUUUGCUUGCUAAAUUUCAAGGAAUUUGGGGUUUUGUGGCUCGUCACUUUCACAAAUUUGAGAACAAGAAUCGAUCUCUUAUUGCGAGAUUGGAAAAGGCAAUGUAGGAGCAACAAGAGAAUAGGUCGGGACACUUGAGCUUCAAAACAAGCAACUAUAUUGUCUAUAACGCCAUCAUCUAUCUAUUUUGGUUUUUAGUCUUAUUUAUAUUAGUGAUGUAUUUAUUUAGGGACAAGCUAAUAUAAUAUGCGACUUUUUUUUUAUUUUAGUUAAUUGUGUUGAUGUUUUCUUUUAUUUAUAAAUUUGGUAAUUGUUAGCAACAUACUCUUAUUAUUGUUGAUUAAUUAUUGUUUUUUUUUUAAUCUGAUCUUGUUAUAUUGAAUAUUUGUUUAUUUUGAU